UUCGGACUUGCGUAAAAAUGUCAAUUAUCUGUCCAUUAGGCAAGAUAGAUAACUCGUCAAUUUGUCAAAGAUGGACGAUAACCUUGCAUGGCGGCCCGUUGUGUUUACAUAAUUCAAAGUCCAAGGCUGCAUGGUUCUUCUCUGACAUGAAAAUGUGCAUGCUUAGGGCCUUUCUGUCAAUCAUUCUUAGGUAUAUUUCGCACGGUUGAGUAAUGAUAACAUUACGUCAGCAAAAUUUUGGUUCGAUAAUAUUGUAAGUAAAUUUAGUUUAGUAGGUAAAGUAAGGUUCACAUAGAGAUAAGUUGAAGUUUUUACUAUGAUAUUUUGAUAAGUAUUUUAAGUUGUGAACAUAUUUUAAUGAUGAUCGAUUGAACAGCGAACCAACUCGACAAGUGCGACAACGCCUUAAAUAAACAGAAUUUGAGAGCUGGAACGAGCUACCAACGCCAACCCACACUUUUAAACCUCAACGUUGAUUGGCUGGAUGCAAAUCACACCACUUGCUACAUCACGUGUACAAAGAUCCCUCAACCGUUAAUAUAAAAGGGCGUGCACAACCCAAAUUCGUCAGUGGACGCACGCUGAAUAAAGCUUAAAUGAUGAAACUAACCUCAAAGCUCA